UACGGAGGGUGCAAGCGUUAUCCGGAUUCACUGGGUUUAAAGGGUGCGUAGGCGGGCAGGUAAGUCCGUGGUGAAAUCUCUGAGCUUAACUCAGAAACUGCCAUGGAUACUAUUUGUCUUGAACGUUGUGGAGGUAAGCGGAAUAUGUCAUGUAGCGGUGAAAUGCUUAGAUAUGACAUAGAACACCCAUUGCGAAGGCAGCUUACUACACAAAUAUUGACGCUGAGGCACGAAAGCGUGGGGAUCAAACAGG
rnacentral:rRNA from 1 species